rnacentral:rRNA from 1 species
AUACGGAGGGUGCAAGCGUUGUUCGGAAUCACUGGGCGUAAAGGGCGUGCAGGCGGUUUGUUUAGUCAGAUGUGAAAGCCCACGGCUCAACCGUGGAAGUGCAUUUGAAACUGGCAGACUUGAGUAUCAGAGGGGGAAGUGGAAUUCCCGGUGUAGAGGUGAAAUUCGUAGAUAUCGGGAGGAAUACCGGUGGCGAAGGCGACUUCCUGGCUGAAUACUGACGCUGAGGCGCGAAAGCGUGGGGAGCAAACAGGAUUAGAAACCCCAGUAGUCC